AUUUAAUGGUGAGGGCAGCUGGCACACAACCUCUUGAAUCCUUCCCAAUAUUCAUAGAGGGUCUCUCUUUCAAGCUGUCUUAUCCCACAAAUUUCCUUCCUUAUAGU